rnacentral:rRNA from 1 species
UAGAGUUUGAUCCUGGCUCAGGAUGAACGCUGGCGGCGUGCUUAACACAUGCAAGUCGAACGAUGAAGCCAGCUUGCUGGUGGAUUAGUGGCGAACGGGUGAGUAACACGUGAGUAACCUGCCCUUAACUCUGGGAUAAGCCUGGGAAACUGGGUCUAAUACCGGAUAUGACUCCUCAUCGCAUGGUGGGGGGUGGAAAGCUUUUGUGGUUUUGGAUGGACUCGCGGCCUAUCAGCUUGUUGGUGAGGUAAUGGCUCACCAAGGCGACGACGGGUAGCCGGCCUGAGAGGGUGACCGGCCACACUGGGACUGAGACACGGCCCAGACUCCUACGGGAGGCAGCAGUGGGGAAUAUUGCACAAUGGGCGGAAGCCUGAUGCAGCGACGCCGCGUGAGGGAUGACGGCCUUCGGGUUGUAAACCUCUUUCAGUAGGGAAGAAGCGAGAGUGACGGUACCUGCAGAAGAAGCGCCGGCUAACUACGUGCCAGCAGCCGCGGUAAUA